UACAGAGGGGGCAAGCGUUGUUCGGAAUUACUGGGCGUAAAGGGCGCGUAGGCGGCCAACUAAGUCGGACGUGAAAUCCCCGGGCUCAACCCGGGAACUGCGUCCGAUACUGGAUGGCUUGAAUCCGGGAGAGGGAUGUGGAAUUCCAGGUGUAGCGGUGAAAUGCGUAGAUAUCUGGAGGAACACCGGUGGCGAAGGCGGCUCACUGGUCCGGUACUGACGCUGAGGUGCGAAAGCGUGGGGAGCAAACAGG
rnacentral:rRNA from 1 species